UCAUGGUUGACUGCAGCAGUAAUGGAAGGUUAAUUUGUAUUCUUCUUUUCCUUUAAAGCCCUAUCAGCUAGGUUUCCCCCUCUGCAAAGAAACCACUCAGUGCAAUGCAAAAUGCAGCCAGCCUGAGGGGGAUGCGGGGAGUAAUAUAACCAAACAAACGCGCUUAAUACGUUUAAAGGGGGAGGAUUGGAAAAUCAGAGUCCGAUGCUGUCUCGGAAUGGAAAAGGAAAAUGACUAUCAAAAAGCCGUUGGCUCACCACGAUCAACUCAUCUAAUCCAAUGAGAGCGAAAGAGAGAGGGAGAGAGUGGGACAGAGGGAGAGAGAGUGAAUAAAUUGGACACCAUGCAACUCUCAGGAAACCCCUAGAUACAAAGGAAGAAGUUGCUGCAGGAUCUAUGGACUUCGAGGUGUUCCAAGUUGAUGCCCGGCUUGUGGCGGUGAGGAAGAUGAGGAGGAGGAUAUCGGAGACCGGCAAGGGUUUCAGAAAUAUAUUGAUCGUACAGCAAAUUUAUUUAAAAAAAUGUUUGGGUUUUGAAAAACAUAAGAAAAGAACAAAUUAACAAAAGGCGGGUGCAAUCCUGAAAAUACUGAUGCACACGAGUAUACACCAUCAGUGACAUCACGAACGUGGUCACAGCCAUACUUCAGAAUGAAUCGCCUGUAUUGUCAGGAUUAGGUUCUUGAGUUGUCAGUUCUUGGGUACAAUUUUAUAAAGUGACCCAAAAGCUGAAGUCUUCAUUGAAAGAAAAUUGGACUUGCCCCGAAGGCGCUUUCGAAUAUAGUGUCCAAUGCCUUUAGAAAAAUAUCAGUGCAUUAAUAUAGCAUUACAUUCGAACACAAAAUAAAUACAUGUGAACAUCAACGCAAUGUACAAGCAUGUUCAUUUUCUCCCAAUGCAGUUUCUGCACUCCUGGGUGUACAUAGAAGUACCCUACCCUUUCUCUACUCACAAGCCUAUUCAAUGCAAUACCUUUUUCAAUUGAAGGCUUGUAGUAUUUUUUGUCUUGCAAUGAGCACCAUCUGUGAACAUUGUUUUUAUUAUUUAGCGUUAAUCUGUAAGCAUACAUCCAUCUGUUGCAUACAUUGCAUAUUCAAUUGAGCCCAUAUGUUUAUAUGUAUGUAUAUAUAUACCUGUGCAAAGUAUGGCCCAGCUCUGCAAUCUUCACUCAGGCAUAGUUCCUCCCUGAUGACUUGAUUGAUUGAUUGACAUACUGGGAAUCGCAGGGCCCGGGCCGGUAGUUAUAUGAAUAAUAGCUUUCAUACUUUUCAGAUAAUACACUUAGGCAUGUUGUCAUAUGUAUUAGACAUCCACAGAAGCCAACACAGAACUUCGUGGAUCUAGUCCAAACCUCCCUGAAAAUGUUUUAUCACUGCCUGGCCAUAUGCUAUUCCCCGGAGAGACUUCUGCCUUAUGUGCACGUAUUGGCCCUGACAUUUCCCCCCCUCUAGACAUUAUCAAAGGGCCGCUUCCUCGAGGCAGCAGGCUGGAUCGUUGUUCCUCAGAUCCACCCACCUGCCCCUCAGUCCUAGCUCUGGGGCAGUG